GUCUGUGCGAAGGUAUGUAGAGUCUGGCCUGCCCACUGACUUAGUUUGUUUAAAGGGCCGCGGUAUUUUGACCGUGCGAAGGUAGCAUAAUCAUUAGUCUUUUAAUUGAAGGCUUGUAUGAAUGGUCGGACAAAAAGUAAGCUGUCUUCAACUGUAAAAAUUGAAUUUGACUUUUAAGUGAAAAGGCUUAAAUAAUACAAAGUGACGAUAAGACCCUAUAAAGCUUUAUAGUGUAAUCUUUUAUUAUAAAUUAUGAAAUCGUAUAACUUAGUUUAAGACAAAACUCUUUCGUUGGGGCGACGAAAAUAUAAUGAAAUAACUGUUUUUGUUUAAAUAAAACAAAUAUAUUUGGUUUUAAUGAGUGAUCCUUUUUUAAAGAUUAAAAGAUUAAGUUACUUUAGGGAUAACAGCGUAAUCUUCUUUGAGAGUUCAUAUCGACAAGAAGGGUUGCGACCUCGAUGUUGAAUUAAGGUUCCUCCGUGGUGUAGCAGCUGCGGUUGGAGGUCUGUUCGACCUUUAAAUCCUUACAUGAUUUGAGUUCAGACCGGCGUAAG
rnacentral:rRNA from 1 species